ACGGUUGCCUUUAUCGCCUCAUGCAAGUGGGGAGGAAAGUCCGGACAGCUCAGAGUACCGCACUCCUCGAAAGGGAGGACUAUCAAACGUGAUGGGACAGAAAGUGCUAAAGAGAUUUAAACCGCCGAUGGCCUUCCCGCGCAAGUAGGAAGGAACAGGUAAGGCUGAAAAGGUGGAGUAAGAGACCACCAGCAAUGGAGUGAUCCAUUGGCUUAGGUAAACCUUGCGGGCUGCAAGACCAUGUAAACUAGUGCUUGAGGGCUACUCGCUCGAUGCUAGAGGGUGGGUCGCAUUAGAUCAAUGAUGAAGCAGCUCUUCGGAGCUGAACAGAAUCCGGCUUACACCGUAAUC
rnacentral:RNase_P_RNA from 1 species